rnacentral:rRNA from 1 species
UACGUAGGGGGCAAGCGUUGUCCGGAAUCAUUGGGCGUAAAGAGCGUGUAGGCGGCUCGAUAAGUCUGCUGUGAAAGUCCAGGGCUCAACCCUGGAAGGCCGGUGGAAACUGUCGGGCUAGAGUCCGGAAGAGGCGAGUGGAAUUCCCGGUGUAGCGGUGAAAUGCGCAGAUAUCGGGAGGAACGCCAAUGGCGAAGGCAGCUCGCUGGGACGGUACUGACGCUGAGACGCGAAAGCGUGGGGAGCAAACAGG